ACACAUGCAAGUCGAACGAGCGAGAGAGAGCUUGCUUUCUCGAGCGAGUGGCGAACGGGUGAGUAACGCGUGAGGAACCUGCCUCAAAGAGGGGGACAACAGUUGGAAACGACUGCUAAUACCGCAUAAGCCCACGGCUCGGCAUCGAGCAGAGGGAAAAGGAGCAAUCCGCUUUGAGAUGGCCUCGCGUCCGAUUAGCUAGUUGGUGAGGUAACGGCCCACCAAGGCGACGAUCGGUAGCCGGACUGAGAGGUUGAACGGCCACAUUGGGACUGAGACACGGCCCAGACUCCUACGGGAGGCAGCAGUGGGGAAUAUUGCACAAUGGGGGAAACCCUGAUGCAGCGACGCCGCGUGGAGGAAGAAGGUCUUCGGAUUGUAAACUCCUGUUGCUGAGGAAGAUAAUGACGGUACUCAACAAGGAAGUGACGGCUAACUACGUGCCAGCAGCCGCGGUAAAACGUAGGUCACAAGCGUUGUCCGGAAUUACUGGGUGUAAAGGGAGCGCAGGCGGGAAGACAAGUUGGAAGUGAAAUCCAUGGGCUCAACCCAUGAACUGCUUUCAAAACUGUUUUUCUUGAGUAGUGCAGAGGUAGGCGGAAUUCCCGGUGUAGCGGUGGAAUGCGUAGAUAUCGGGAGGAACACCAGUGGCGAAGGCGGCCUACUGGGCACCAACUGACGCUGAGGCUCGAAAGUGUGGGUAGCAAACAGGAUUAGAUACCCUGGUAGUCCACACUGUAAACGAUGAUUACUAGGUGUUGGAGGAUUGACCCCUUC
rnacentral:rRNA from 1 species